GCGGGGGUGACCCUGCUCCCGCACGGGACCCCGGCGGAUGCUCAUGGCCCCGCGGUGCUUUGAGACAGACUCACGGCCGGCAUCGCUGAGUCCAAUGGGUGAGGUGGGGCACGGCCCUACAACCCAAUUCAGACUACUCUCCCCCGGA
rnacentral:ncRNA from 2 species